rnacentral:lncRNA from 1 species
GAGAAUUUUCCCCUCACAAUUAAUAACUGUUUCUACAGAUUGUGUACUUUGAAAUUAAUGUUUUACCCAAAAACUGGUUGAAAUUCAAUUUAUUAGAGUUAACAGAAAAAUUCAAAACAGUUACAAUUUGUGAGCACAGAAAGUUAUUGAGACCUCUCUUCUUCAUCAUAAAGUCCAGAAUGGAAGACAUCUGGAUUUUCAAACUUGCAACAUCCUAAAUCUCGGGAUUUAAUUUGCAACAUUUGGAUACCUUAUAGAUUAAAUUUAGAAAGAGGUUAUUGACCUAUUAAGUGACAGUAAAUCCACAUUAUAAUGGGACGAGUGUACUUGUCAUGAUAACUUUCUAGCCGUAGAGUUCAUAACCUUUUUAACUAAUAUUACAUUUUUUUAUGAGUUUGAUUUUGAUUUAAAUUUUUACUUUAUUUUUUAUAAGUUGAUUUAUAAAAAAAUUUAGAAACAUUUAUUUCAACGUACAUAAUUAUAAUCUAUAGGCACAUUAUUAAUUGUGACUUCAAAUUGAGAGACCUGAAUUAAGUACUCAAGAGAAAGAAAAUACCAUGUAAAUUUAACAUGAUGACUGGGUUUAGAAUACCAAAACAUGUUGAUGUAAUAAGUAAAUAAUAUCUGCAAUCAUUUGAAGUGUUGUGUCCUUUACUACAUUGUACUUUGUCAUAUUGGAAAAAAUGAAUAAAAAAUAAAUCUAAUAAAUCUGCACACAAAAGAGUCCUUUAUAUUCAUGUAACUAGUAAAGAUGUGUAUGAACUUUGUAGUUGUCUAAGAAAAGUUGAAAAUAAUUAAUUCUAGAAGAGCAUUAGUUUUCAUCUAGUCAUUACAUAUGCUCAUGGUUGUUGCAAUGAACAGUGAUUCUGGAAUCGAUCUGUGUAUUAAAAUGACUUUUGUCAGGUAUUAAAAUUUUGCUCAGGAAAAACUAAAAAAAUGGAGGACAAUAGGUUUUUAUAUUUUGUCAUGAUGAUCAGUUCCUUACAUAGAGUGGGGUGCUCAUUUUCGCCACAUCUUUCCAUGUUUUCUACAGUUUAUGUUCAGGUCUAAAUGUUUUUGAAGUAUACUGAUAUUUCUAUAUGAAGAAAACUUCAAAUGCAAAAUAUACUUCAGCUUGAAAACCGGUUUGUUUUAAGAAAAUCAUCUGAAAAG